GUGUUGCAUUUUUUGCACUUAUUGAUGCGCGACCAAAGACAGCUCGAUUGAAAGACUCUAAAAAAAGUUCAGAACUUGUCAAGUUGAAUGAUCCUUCAUUUGGGCAAAAAAUUAUAAACAGGAUUAAAAAACCUUUUGAACAUGUGAUCAAUAGUUUAAAAAAUGGUAUUACUUCAAAAAAG
rnacentral:lncRNA from 1 species